GAUGAACGCUAGCGGCAGGCUUAAUACAUGCAAGUCGAGGGGCAGCAUGAUUGUAGCAAUACAAUUGAUGGCGACCGGCAAACGGGUGCGGAACACGUACACAACCUUCCAACAAGUAGGGGAUAGCCCAGAGAAAUUUGGAUUAAUACCCCGUAACAUAGCGAUGUGGCAUCACGUUGCUAUUAUAGAUUUUUCGCUUGGUGAUGGGUGUGCGGCUGAUUAGAUUGUUGGCGGGGUAACGGCCCACCAAGGCUACGAUCAGUAGCUGAUGUGAGAGCAUGAUCAGCCACACGGGCACUGAGAGACGGGCCCGACUCCUACGGGAGGCAGCAGUAAGGAAUAUUGGACAAUGGACGCAAGUCUGAUCCAGCCAUGCCGCGUGAAGGAUUAAGGUCCUCUGGAUUGUAAACUUCUUUUAUAAGGGACGAAAAAAGGCUUUUCUAAGUCGUCUGACGGUACCUUAUGAAUAAGCACCGGCUAACUCCGUGCCAGCAGCCGCGGUAAGAC
rnacentral:rRNA from 1 species